rnacentral:rRNA from 1 species
UGGGCAACCUGCCCCUCUCUCUGGGAUAACCCCGGGGAAAACCGGAGCUAAUACCGGGUACUCCGGCUGGAUCGCAUGGUCCGGCCGGGAAAGGUCCGCCGGAGAGGGAUGGGCCCGCGGCCUAUCAGCUUGUUGGUGGGGUAACAGCUCACCAAGGCUACGACGGGUAGCUGGUCUGAGAGGACGACCAGCCACACUGGAACUGAGACACGGUCCAGACUCCUACGGGAGGCA